AAAAACCUCCUCACUGAACACUUCUGCUUUUCAGUCUCUGAAUAACUUCUUAUACCUUCAGUCACUUCUCAGUUUUUGUUACGGCCAAUCGGUUUUCUAAAUGUUUUCUCUUACAGCUGUUCACAAAUCACAUUCUCUCUUUACAUGACAUUCACAGUGAAUAUAACCAAAUAUUUUCAGGCCUUUAUUUUUUUUUUUUCAGGGCUACCAUAAUGUGGUUUCAUAGUAGGAAAAAAUCAGUAAAUAUGAGAUUACUUUUGCUAAAUAUAAAUGUUCAAACUUCAUCAUCUUUUAACAGGCAGAUAAAGGGGAGAGCUCUGUGGGGCGCAGACAAAUUUGAGACCCAGGAAGUCAGAAAUCCAUGGCUCAUUGUUAAGUUAAUCUGUGAUAUUAUAUUUUUUUUUUUACCUGAAAAUAACUACUCCUACCAAAGCAACUACUAUUUUCUUAUAAUUCAUGCGGGACAAGAUAGCCUUCUUUGAAAUGCAAACCCCUUUUCUUAAAAAGAAUUCAAAUUGGUUCAAAAGAAAAACAAAUGUUUUGAUUGAUGGAAAACUUGAAAGAAAGUGGCAAAAUUGGGUUUAAUGUGUCAAAACAAGCAUAAAAUGGUAAAAACAGGAAUUGAAGUGGCAAAAUGGGCAUGAAGAAUAGUGUGGAUAAAACUUGCCAAAACACAGAAAAAAAAUCAGCAAAAAGUGGAAAAAAUAUGCAGAAAAAGUGAUGGAACGGGUGUCAAUGUUACAGAAAUAUGCAGAUAAGGUAGUAAAAUGAAAUUAAGAAUUGGAAAAAAUGGAUUACUUGAUGCAAAACUGGGUUUAUAGUGGCAUUUAUAGUGGAAAUGUGACCAAUGUGGGUUUAAGUGGUAAAAAUAGGCAAAAUGAAGAUUGGGUGGGUGAAAAUUGAUCAAAACUGAUUAAAACAUGGCAAAAAAUAAGUAAAUAAAUAAAUAAAAGUGGCAAAAAUGGAUGGGAAACAUUGGAUGAAAGAAGUUAAAAAGUGGCACAAAUGAAUAAUUUUACAUCAAAAUCCAAUAAUACUUUUACACUAUCUAGCUCCAAAAUGAAGUAACUGUUAGCCAGGCUCCAAUGCUACUGAUCCAACACACAUGCUUUGAUAUGAUCAAUAAAUCAUGACUGGGGAGAGCUCAUUCUCUGGGUUUGUCAGGGGCUCAGCCAAAACUGUGGGCAGGUCUGAUCCUUUAUAUCAAAACUGUUCACUGCACAGGCUGCAAAUAUUGGUUUAAAGAGAAAUGUGAAAGUUAAAAUAAAAACAUGUGGCAGAUUUGUGUUGAAAAUGAUUUCAAAGACAUCCAGACUUUAAAGUGUUAAAAGAAAAAAAUGAGUGCAGUAACCUGAACAAACAAGUGUAAACUCCUCCUCCUCUCCUCAGUGUCUUGAUAAGCUUCAGUGUCUCUUCUCCUCUCACUCCAACCCUGCUCACCUCUCAGCUGGACAGUCAGGGACGUUUACAGCACACACUGACAACAUGCUGUGGACUCUGCUCACUCUCAUCACUGCUCUAACAUAUGUUGAUGCAGUGAUCGUGCUGACCCAGACGCCUGCUGUCCUCACAGUUUCUACAGGACAAGAGGUCGUUCUCAAAUGUAACAUCCAGAGAGAUGACAAUCAAUAUGUCUUCUGGUACAAACAGGUUCCUGGUGGAGUUCCUCAGUAUGUUCUGAGAUUUUAUCACUCUCACAGCUCACCUAAUGAGUAUGGAUCAGGAUUCUCCUCAGACCGAUUCAACUCUAAAUCCUCAUCAAGCAUAGAUUAUCAGUUCAUCAUAAAGAGAGCAGAGACAGGAGACAACGCUCAGUAUUUCUGUGACACAUGGGAUGACUCUGCUAAGGAGAGAGUAUCACAGUGAUUCACACCAUGACAAAAACCUCCUCACUAUUUACUUCUGAUUUUUGACCUUUUUACUCUGAAAACUGUUUUUUCAGGGUGUGAUCUGACUUGCAGUGACUUCGAUGUACUUCUGCAUUUAUAAAAAAAAAAACGUAACAUUGUGUAUCUUUACUGAACUCAAAAUUAGCGUUAUUCAGUACUUGAUAGGUUGUGAUACACAACAACUCAGCAAAAAGAUUCAUUGUUUUCAUCUGGAAAUGUUCUGGAAAAAUAACAGAGCUGGAACUUAGAAUGAAGAUAUUUUUACCCUUUAACAGAAAACAGUGAUUUCCAAAUCCUUUAAAACAAUUAAAUUCAGUGGAAAGUAAAAAUAUUUUUAAAUUGAAACUGACUGUAGUGUUUGUUGAUUUGGUUUGUUUGUUGGAAAUUAAACACACACACACUGAAUUUGAGGAAUUCACAACCUUCCUAGAUAACUUGGACAGGGGCAAGAAAAGAUUGGGAAAUCUGUGGAAAGUCUUAUAAACAGUUGUAACAUUCCACAGGCAAGAUGGUUGACUGGAAUCAGGUGAUACCUGAGGUGGAACCAUGACUGGGUAGAAAAGGAGCACUCUUGAAAGGCUCAGUUGUCUGCAGUCAGUGAUGUUGCAUGGCUCUCCACUUUAUGAAAGACUGUGUGGCAAAUAGUCCAACAGUUUAUGAUCAAUGUUUCUCAAUGUGCAAAGAGAGAAUUUAGAGGUCUCACCAUCCAUAAUAUCAUCUAAUGAAUCUGGAGGAAUCUCUGCACAUACAGAGCAAAGCUGAAAACUAACAUUGAUUGCCUGACCUUUGACCCCCCAGGGAGCACUGCAUUAAAAACCAGCAUCAUUUGAGAUGGAUUACGACAACGUUGACUCAGGAACACUUUGGAAAACUAUCGUCAGUUAACACAGUCAAUGCUACAUCUAUAAAUAUAAGUGAACAAUUUACCACAUAAAGCAACAAUCACAGCCCUAGAUCGUCUGAGAUGGACUAACCUACAUGAGAAAAGUGUGCUGUGGUCUGAUGAGUCCAAAUAUCAUUUAAAAAAUGACUUUCUAGUCCUCUGGGCUAAGGAGGAAACAGCUAAUUAAAAUUGUUAUCAACAUAAACUUCAAAAGCUAGCAUCUGUGAUAGAGUGGAAGUGUAUUAGAGCCCAUGACACGGGUCACUUGCACAUCUGUGAAGGCCUGUUAAUACUGAGGUACACACACAGCUUUUGGACCAACAUGUUAGAUCAGCAGUGUCCUUGCUAACAUUUAUCUCCUUUUGGAGCUGGAAAUUUAGUUUUAAAGUAAUUGUUGGGAUCAAAUAUUUCCUGUAAAGUUAUCUCUGUUUCUUCUCUCUUUUCAUGCAUCCUGGCAUUUGUGCAGGUUAUGGCAUGGUGAUGAAGUCUGAUGUUACAAGAAAAAAUCUUUUUUUCAACAGACCAGCACUGGAUACCAGUCUGAUUGUGGUGGCAUUCAAACAUGAGGGAACAACAGCCAGUUUCAGAGAGGUGUUAAAGAAGGAAACUUGAAGGUGUUGAUCAUGAGGAGUGAUUUCUUUAUGCAGGCUGCAGACAGGCACUAUGAAUGAUCUAGUGGAGAGUGUGUAAACUCCUCCUCCUCUCCUCAGUGUCUUUAUAAGCUUCAGUCUCUCUUCUCCUCUCACUCCAACCCUGCUCACCUCUCAGCUGGACAGUCAGGGAC